UUGCAGGCUGCAACUCGCCUGCAUGAAGUUGGAAUUGCUAGUAAUCGCGGAUCAGCAUGCCGCGGUGAAUACGUUCCCGGGCCUUGUACACACCGCCCGUCGCACCAUGGGAGUUUGUAACACCCGAAGUCAGUAUCCUAACCGCGAAGGGGGGAGCUGCCGAAGGUGGGAUAAGCGACUGGGGUGAAGUCGUAACAAGGUAUC
rnacentral:rRNA from 1 species